UUAUGUAAAGUGCCUUUGAGUAUCACAAAAAGCGCUAUAUGAAUUAAAUGCAUUAUUAUUAUUAAUACAUAAUGCAUGACACCAAACAUGCACACUUAUGCGCAGGAUGCUCGAUUUGACCUCUGACACCUGGUGUGUGUGUGUCUGUGUGUGUUUGUUGCCAGCGGACUUUGGUGUGUCGGCUCAGAUCAACAUGACCAUCGCUAAGAGGAAGUCCUUCAUCGGGACUCCAUACUGGAUGGCUCUGGAGGUGGCGGCAGUGGAGAGGAAGGGCGGGUAUAACCACUGUGUGACAUCUGGGCCGUCGGCAUCACCGGCAUCGAACUGGCAGAACUGCAGCCGCCCAUGUUUGACCUCCACCCCAUGAGAGCUCUGCUGCUGAUGACCAAGAGUAACGUUCAACCGCCCAAGCUGAAAGACAAGGUGAAGUGUCGGAUCGCUUCCUGGACUGUGAGGAGGAGCUAUUCUUCACUGCGAGAUCCCACCUGGUACACCUGACCAUACACAUGCUAACUAAUUAUCUGUCCUUGUUCCUGUUAGCAUGAGGCUAACAGUCUGUGUAUUAUUAUUAUUAUUAUUAUUAUUAUUGCUCUAUUGUUAUUAUUAUUGAAUAGUUGUCUGACUGCAACACAUGUUUACAACACGCUAAUAAUACAUGAAUACGAUGCAAAUAGCAUGCUAACAGCACACAAACAACAUUCUAUUAACACAUUAAUAACUUGAUAACAGGCUAACAUGCUAACAACACACUAAUAACAUGCUAAUGCAGUCAUUCUUUUAACUAAGUUGUUCUUCUUUGUCCUCACCUUAUGACGUUCACGCUCCCUUCCCUAUUGCACCUGGAUGAUGUCACUUCUGUCUUAAUUAGUCAUUUAGUCCAAUCACAUGUGUGCCAGUGUUCCCAUCAGAACCAGCUACGGUAACACACACACACACGUACACACAUACACGUACACACACUUCCUGUGUGCUGAUGAAGAUGAGGAUGUAAUGUGAGGUGCAGCAGUGUUUUGGUCCGUUGGGACUUUCACAGUUGAAAGUUGCUGAAUCAGCGCCAACGCUCUGCCGACCAAUCCGAUAUGCUCUUAUGAAUAGGAGGAGGAG